rnacentral:rRNA from 1 species
UACGUAGGGAGCAAGCGUUGUCCGGAAUCAUUGGGCGUAAAGCGCGCGUAGGUGGCCCCAUAAGUCCGCUGUGAAAGUCAAAGGCUCAACCUUUGAAAGCCGGUGGAUACUGUGGGACUAGAGUACGGAAGAGGCGAGUGGAAUUCCUGGUGUAGCGGUGGAAUGCGCAGAUAUCAGGAGGAACACCAAUAGCGAAGGCAGCUCGCUGGGACGUUACUGACACUGAGGCGCGAAAGCGUGGGGAGCAAACAGG